rnacentral:rRNA from 1 species
GAACUUAAGCAUAUCAAUAAGCGGAGGAAAAGAAACUAACAAGGAUUCCCCUAGUAACUGCGAGUGAAGCGGGAAGAGCUCAAAUUUAAAAUCUGGCGGUCUCUGGCCGUUCGAGUUGUAAUCUAGAGAAGUGUUUUCCGCGUUGGACCGUGUACAAGUCUCUUGGAAUGGAGCGUCGUAGAGGGUGACAAUCCCGUCUUUGACACGGACUACCAAGGCUUUUGUGAUGCGCUCUCGAAGAGUCGAGUUGUUUGGGAAUGCAGCUCAAAAUGGGUGGUAAAUUCCAUCUAAAGCUAAAUAUGGGCGAGAGACCGAUAGCGAACAAGUACCGUGAGGGAAAGAUGAAAAGAACUUUGAAAAGAGAGUUAAACAGUACGUGAAAUUGUUGAAAGGGAAACGAUUCAAGUCAGUCGCGUUGUCCGGUAAUCAACCCAUGCGAUUCGCUGGGCUUACUUUCCGGUUCUACGGGUCAGCAUCAAUUUUGACCGUCGGAUAAAGUCUCGGGGAAUGUGGCAUCUUCGGAUGUGUUAUAGUCCCUUGUCGCAUACGAUGGUUGGGAUUGAGGAACUCAGCACGCCGCAAGGUUGGGGGGGUUAGUCCCUACAUAACGUGCUUAGGAUGCUGGCAUAAUGGCUUGAACCGACCCGUCUUGAAACACGGACCAAGGAGUCUAACAUGCCUGCGAGUGUUUGGGUGGAAAACCCAAGCGCGAAGUGAAAGUGAAAUGGGUUGGGAUCCCUGUCGUGGGGAGCACCGACGCCCGGACCAGACCUUUUGUGACGGACCCGCGGUAGAGCAUGCAUGUUGGGACCCGAAA